GAUGAACGCUGGCAGCGUGCCUAAUACAUGCAAGUCGAGCGAACGGACGAGAAGCUUGCUUCUCUGAUGUUAGCGGCGGACGGGUGAGUAACACGUGGAUAACCUACCUAUAAGACUGGGAUACUUCGGGAAACCGGAGCUAAUACCGGAUAAUAUUUUGAACCGCAUGGUUCAAAAGUGAAAGACGGUCUUGCUGUCACUUAUAGAUGGAUCCGCGCUGCAUUAGCUAGUUGGUAAGGUAACGGCUUACCAAGGCAACGAUGCAUAGCCGACCUGAGAGGGUGAUCGGCCACACUGGAACUGAGACACGGUCCAGACUCCUACGGGAGGCAGCAGUAGGGAAUCUUCCGCAAUGGGCGAAAGCCUGACGGAGCAACGCCGCGUGAGUGAUGAAGGUCUUCGGAUCGUAAAACUCUGUUAUUAGGGAAGAACAUAUGUGUAAGUAACUGUGCACAUCUUGACGGUACCUAAUCAGAAAGCCACGGCUAACUACGUG
rnacentral:rRNA from 1 species